rnacentral:rRNA from 1 species
UCCGGUUGAUCCUGCCAGAGGUUACUGCUAUCGGGGUUCGAUUAAGCCAUGCAAGUUAAAUGUUUUUCGUAAACAUAGCGAACUGCUCAGUAACACGUGGAUAACUUAACCUUAGGUCCGGCAUAACCCCGGGAAACUGGGGAUAAUUCCGGAUGUAUCAAGGAUGCUGGAAUGCCCUUUGGUUCAAAGCUUUUGUGCCUAAGGAUAGGUCUGCGGUCUAUCAGGUAGUAGUGGGUGUAACGUACCUACUAGCCGACGACGGAUACGGGUUGUGAGAGCAAGAGCCCGGAGAUGGAUUCUGAGACACGAAUCCAGGCCCUACGGGGUGCAGCAGGCGCGAACACUUUACAAUGCGGGAAACCGCGAUAAGGGAACCCCGAGUGCCAGUACUAAGUGCUGGCUGUCUAGAUGAAUAGAUAUCAUUUAAUAGCAAGGGCCGGGCAAGACCGGUGCCAGCCGCCGCGGUAACACCGGCGGCCCGAGUGGUAACCGAUAUUAUUGGGUCUAAAGGGUCCGUAGCCUGUUUAAUAAGUCCUUUGGGAAAUCUGGCAGCUUAACUGUCAGGCUGCUAAAGGAUACUGUUAAACUUGGGACCGGUAGACGUAGGGGGUACUCCAGGGGUAGGAGUGAAAUCUUGUAAUCCCUGGGGGACCAUCUGUGGCGAAGGCGUCUUACCAGAACGGGUCUGACGGUGAGGGACGAAAGCUGGGGGCGCAAACCGGAUUAGAUACCCGGGUAGUCCCAGCCGUAAACGAUGCUCGCUAUGUGUCAGGUACGGUGUGACCGUAUCUGGUGCCGUAGGGAAGCCGUGAAGCGAGCCACCUGGGAAGUACGGUCGCAAGACUGAAACUUAAAGGAAUUGGCGGGGGAGCACUACAACGGGUGGAGCCUGCGGUUUAAUUGGAUUCAACGCCGGG